GACGAACGCUGGCGGCGUGCCUAACGCAUGCAAGUCGAGCGAGCGAAUCUCCUUCGGGAGUGAAGCUAGCGGCGGACGGGUGAGUAACACGUGGGCAACCUGCCUCAUAGAGGGGAAUAGCCUUUCGAAAGGAAGAUUAAUACCGCAUAAGAUUGUAGCUUCGCAUGAAGUAGCAAUUAAAGGAGCAAUCCGCUAUGAGAUGGGCCCGCGGCGCAUUAGCUAGUUGGUGAGGUAACGGCUCACCAAGGCGACGAUGCGUAGCCGACCUGAGAGGGUGAUCGGCCACAUUGGGACUGAGACACGGCCCAGACUCCUACGGGAGGCAGCAGUGGGGAAUAUUGCACAAUGGGGGAAACCCUGAUGCAGCAACGCCGCGUGAGUGAUGACGGCCUUCGGGUUGCAAAGCUCUGUCUUCAGGGACGACAAUGACGGUACCUGAGGAGGAAGCCACGGCUAACUACGUGCCAGCCGCCGCAGUAA
rnacentral:rRNA from 1 species